rnacentral:rRNA from 1 species
AAUCAACGCUGGCGGCGUGCCUCAGACAUGCAAGUCGAACGGUUAAGACUCCCUUCGGGGAGUGUAUAAAGUGGCGCACGGGUGAGUAACACGUGGGUAAUCUACCUCCGGGUGGGGGAUAACCCGCCGAAAGGUGGGCUAAUACCGCAUAAUGCAGCGGCACCGAAUGGUGACGGUUGUUAAAGGAGCAAUCCGCCUGGAGAGGAGCCCGCGGCCGAUUAGCUAGUUGGUAGGGUAAUGGCCUACCAAGGCGACGAUCGGUAGCCGGCCUGAGAGGGCGGUCGGCCACACUGGCACUGAAACACGGGCCAGACUCCUACGGGAGGCAGCAUG